GAUGAACGCUGGCGGCGUGCCUAAUACAUGCAAGUCGAACGAACAGACGCGGAGCUUGCGCCUCUGACGUUAGCGGCGGGGGGGUGAGUCACACGUGUAUAACCUACCUAUCAGUCUGGUAUCACUUCGGGACACCGGAUCUAAUCCCGUAUGAUAUAUUGAACCACAUGGUUCGAUGGUGAAAUACGGUUUUGCUGUCAGGUAUCGCGGUAUCCCAGCCGUAUUAGCUAGUUGUUAAGGUCACGGGUUACCAAGGCAACGAGGCGUAGCCGACCGGAGAGGGUGAUCGGCCACCCUGGAACUGGGACACGGUCAAUAGGACUACGGGAGGCAGCAGUAGGGAAUCUUCCGCAAUGGGCGAAAGCAUGACGGAGCAACGCCGCGUGAGUGAUGAAGGUCUUCGGAUCGUAAAACUGUGUUAUUAGGGAAGAACAACUGUGUAAGUAAAUAUGCACGUAUUGACGGUAACUAAUCAGAAAGCACCGGCUAACUACGUG
rnacentral:rRNA from 1 species